UAAUUGACUAGAGUCUCCUUUCUUCCCUUUAGCUGUUCACAGCUGGUUCCCAGUGAUUUGGACGAUCUGAAGAAAGACAUGGAUGAGGUCUGGAAAGUAGUCAGGAAGCUGCUGAUUGAAGGCUUCCGGUUUGACCCCGACAGUGCUGCCGGCUUUAGGAAGAAACUGUUUGAGCAGGUGAAAUGAAUCUCCUGCCACCGACCCGUGGAGAUGAUGACCAGCCCAACAGCUGUUCUUUAUGAUUUAUGAAGAGGAUGGUGGCCCCAUGCUGUGGAUCUUUCUAGAGGGAAGGCCGUGUUUGAGGGCAACUCAUCACCAUCCGCAGUGCCCGCCUGCUGUCGCAGCUGUGGCCGGCCAGUGCCAACAGCUACGAGUACCUGCAGUGGCAACAGGUGAGGCCGAGGUGGACAUCCUGGGAGUGGACGGGAUCCUGUACAAGGGCCGAAUGAACAGCAAGGACAGGGUGCGGCCUCUGACCGGCGCAGAGAAGAAGCUGGCAGGUGAGGAGCGUCAGGCCUUCCUGGGCACCCCUGCCCCGUGUCCUGCCUUUGCUGGGCAUUGUGAGGCCCAGUGUGAUGCAGGUGGGGCCCAGAGCCAGCAACAUCCGUGACUGGGGGCUCCUCACACAGCCACUUGCAAACAUGGGAUCCUACUGUAUGCCAGGCACUGUACUGGGACAGCUUGUGACAAGGGAUGCUGGGGAGGGGUACUGGAUGGCCUCCCCAAAGAAGGAAUGCUGGGUGGUGAUUGGAGAGUUGUGACAAGGGACACUGGUUCAAGUAGGAGGUCCUAGACUGCUGUCCUUAGGCCUCUGAAAAGGGAAUAAGGCUUAGCUGGAUGAAGGGAUCACGUGGGAGGAGAGUGAUCCAGGGGGAGGGAAUAGCAGUGCAAAGGCCCUGUGGCGGGUGGAAGGCAGGCACACUUAGGAACUCGGGAAGGUGAGUCUACCUGGAGUGGGGAGAUCGGGCUGGGGUUGGGCGUGAUGAGGAGGACGCCAGGACAGACUGGAGGCCUAUGUCCUAAUUGUCACGGGCUGGGGAGGGUUGGGCCAGAGGGAGACGUGGAAUGAAUUGCUCUGGUUACUGCAGUGUCGAGGCCCUGGCUCCAGCUGGCUCCGACUGGGGACCCCGGGACUCAUCUCCAGCACUGGGCCAGCAAUACCUUCUCUGCCUGCCCCUUUGAGGUUACCCCUCUCUGGGAAGAGGGGUUCCACACACUGCCCUACUGGGUUGGUCCAGGAGCCACAGAGUGGUCAGGGGGUUAAAUUCCACCCAUGGUGUCCCUCCUCACCCCACUUUGCCUCCAUUGACUUGAGAACAACCACCAGACACCUAAGCAAAGGAAAGGGGACUCUUUUCCUGGGUGUUCUGGACAGAGAGGACAGCACCCUGCUUUAGUGUCCCAGGGCUGCAACAAAUGACCACCAAUUGGGCGGCUUAAGACAAUAGAAAUUAACUCUCACAGUACAGGAGGCCAGAAAUCCAAAAUCAAGGUGUUGGCAGGGCCGUGCUCCCUCCGAAGGCCCUAGUGGAGGAUCCUUUCUGCCUCUUCCAGCUUCUGGGAGCUCCAGGCAUUCCUGGGUUUGUGGCUGCAUCAUCCCCGUCUCGGCCUCCUUCUUCUUGUGGCUUCUCCCUGUGUCUCCUCUUCUGUCUCUUAACUCAGAUGCCCUCAUCUGAAGAUCCUUCACUUAAUUACAUCUGCAGAGACCUUUUCUUUAAACAAGGUCACAUUCACAGGUUCCAGGGGGACACAUCUUUUGGGCAGCUGCCAUUCAACCCACUACAGGCCCCUGCCCUGGUCCAGGGUGCAGGUCACCAUCUUGAACCCUGCAUUCCCCCUGGGGCACGGAUGUGGCCCUUGCAGUGUUAAUGGCUCUACCUGGAUGAUGCCCCCAGACGCAGAUGCUGUCGAGAAGAGACUCAGGCUGGGCCCCUGGCAUCACCAGGCAGGAUAACAGCAAUGGUGGCCAAUAUUUAAUGAGCUCAACUUCUUGCCAGGCCCUGCACUGCCUCCUCUCACCCUGCACCAGCUGGUGAGGCAUUGCACAGAUGAGCGGGUGAGGGUCGCUUGCCGGGAGCCCACCCUUGGUGGAGGGGUCAGGGUGAUCUACAGACCCGACCUUCGUCUCCAGUCAUCCAUCGGAUGACGUCCCCACCCAGCUCCCCAGGGCUGUCAUCAAGAGCGAGGGGCUCUUCUCCCCAGGGCUUGUUUGUUCUCCAGACCCAUGCAGCUAAGCAGGAGUAGAUCAGGAUGCCUCAAUUGCUUUAUCCUGCUUGAGGGCCACAAAGUCUAACUAGAAAUUGGAAUCAGUUCGAAACCCGCCUGUGGCUGGAUCUUUUGACCAGUUUGUCUUAUUGCUCAUUUUUUACUCAAAAGAAAAUUCUAGUUCGAAACACACUCAGUAUCUAAACCUAAAGUAGCUGAUGUGAGUCCCCCUCCCAGGUCCAGCCUGGUCCCAGAUGUAUCCAUCCAUCCUUUGCCCACAGGGCCACCAAGGACCAUCUAGCCAGCCUGUGCCCUCCUGAUGCCUGCACAGUGGUCAGGAUCUCAGGCCGGGCAGAGGAGCCCUUGAUCCCUAGUAAGCAGUGCUCCCAGCAUGAGGCUGGACUUCCAGAGAGGUCUCAAUGGAAGUGGGGCUAAGUACAGGCAGGGCUCAGGUAGGCAGAGGCAGCAGGGGCACAGAUGGAGGGGGAGAUGCCUCACCAGCCUCACCGUCCUCACCAGCACUGAGUGAAUGGUCUCAAACAUGCUCCUGACCAGGCCCCUCCCCCGCUCAGAACCCGGCAGGGUGAGUGUCCUAUGGCUGCUGUAACAUUACCACAAAGAGGGGCUUAAAACUAUCCAAGUUUACUUUAUCUUAGUUCUGGAGGUCAAAUCGGAAGUGAAUCUUACAGGGCUAAGAUCGAGGUGUCUGCAGGGCUGGUUCCUUCUGAGGCUCAAGGGGAGAUUCCGUGUCCUUCCAGAGGCCUCCCACAUUCCUUGGCUCAUGGCCCCUUCUGCCAUCUUCAGAGGGCAUCUCUCUGACCUCAGUGUCUGUCCUCACAUCUCCUUCUCUGACCCUCUGGCCUCCCCUCAUAAGGACCUUGCAAUUACAUUGGACCCAUCCAGUUAAUCCAGGAUCAUUUCCCCAUCUCAAGAUCCUUAACUUGAUAACAUUUACAAAGCCCCCUCUGCCAUGUAAGGUGACAUAGUCACAGGUUCUGGGGAUUAGGACAGGGAUGUCUUGGGGUUCAUUGUCCCCAGAGUCCGAUCUCCUUGGCUGGUCUGCAGGGCCCCUUGGCCACUCCCCGCCCCAGCCUCAUCUGCUCCCUGCCUCCAGCCUCCCAGAACUGCUUGCUUGCUCUCUCAAUGAUCCACGCUGUUACCCCCGUCUGUGCCCCUGCAUGUGCCGUGUGCUCCGCCUGGAAUCCCUGGGGAAACUUUCUCAUCUGCCAGGGCUCAAAUGUCCCCUCCCAUCGGGAGCCUCCCAGCUGCUUGGCUUUUGGCUCUUGCAGAGGUGGGAAAGCCGUGGAGGAGAUUGUGGGAGAAGCAGAUAUUGGGGUCAGGUGGCAAGUUCGGGUUUGGGCCUCUGCAUCCAAGGUGUCUGUGGGCCUUCAAGGAGAGUGCAGGCUCAGAGCUGUGUUCCCAGGCCUCACUGGGUCUUGGUUUUGAAUCUGUACCCCAGGCUCACGUGCCUCACCUUGGAGGGAAGCAGUGUGACAGUCUCACUGGUUGGCUGGUUGGCAGGUCCUACCUCUGACCUGUGCAGGGAUGCAGGUGCCAACCGGUGAUCAGAGUUGGGGCCAGGGAGUGAUCCUCAACUGAGCAUUUGCUCUUACCCCGAACCUGCAAAGCACAUGGGAGGUCGUUCCUACCUCAGGUUCAGGAGACAUGACCCAAGCUACCUGGAUCCCAAAGGCUAAUGGGGAAUCAGUGUGGUCCCCUGUGUCAGUUGGGUCCUCCAGGGCGCAGACCCUGAGACAGAGUUAGGAAUGCAAUAGGUUUGGGAUGGGGAGGCGUUAACAAAGAGGAGGAAGGGAGGGAGCAGGCAGAGAGACCCUCAGACAGUGUGCAGACCUGAUAAAGUCCAGGCCAGCCCAGUGGGGACCUUCCAAGCAAACACUGCCCAGCAGAUGGCCAGGCCCUGUGCUCCCAUAUUGGCCAGAGAUGCUAACAGACCCCAAGUGCUAACAGGUGGAGGCUGUCGGCUCCCUGUGCUCCCCAGAACUGAACGAUGAGUUCUUUCUUAAAGGGAGAGCUGAACGGCACCUCCUGCUGCCACAUGGCCCUGGUCACUCAGCCGGUCAGUCCUUAGCCCUCCUUGGUACCAGGUGUGUUUUGGAUGCCACUGGAGAGACCUGGUGAGGUCAAAGUAAAGUUACUGCCCCCUUAGAGUUUUUACUCCACGAAGGAUGGUGAAAUGAAAUGAGUAAGUUCAGCGAGUGAAUAAGAUGAAACAUGGGGAAUUCCCUGGCGGUCCAGUGGUUAGGACUCAGUACUUUUACUGCCAAGGGCACAGGUUCAAUCCCUGGUCGGGGAACUAAGAUCCCACAAGCCGUGCAGUGUGGCCAAAAAAAAAAAAAGAUGAAACAUGGAAAUAGGGGAGAGAAUGACUGGGGUCGGGGGGUAGUCCCUGUGGAGCAUGUGGUCUGAAGGACUCUCUGAAAAGGAAGGUCAGGAGACAGCCAGGGAAGGACACAGCCGUCCAAGCAGAAGGAACCGUCGGGGUCCUGCAUGGGAAGGAGCUUCGUGCCCCUGUAAUUCGUCCCAGGUGGGAGGCCUGGCCCAUCUACUCCAGACCUGGUGCCCUGCUCAGCCAUCUGCGACCCCCCAACACCACCCGCCCUGUCCUUCCUGCAUAUUUGCUCUCAUGGCCUCUUUUCCCUGCAUGCUCCCACCUCGUACAGCGGUCUCUGGUCUGGAUGGCCAGUUGUGGUGACUCUUGGCUGGACAGGGAGAAAGGGACGCCUUGGGUUCAAAAGUGAAGGAUGGAGCCAGACUCCAAAGGCCACAUAUUUUGUGACCCCCCUCCCAUGAUGUGUCCAGAACAGGCAAAUUACGGAGACAGAAAACAGAUUAGCGAUUGCUGGGUGCUCAGGGGAGGGGUGAAUGGGGGGGUGACUGCCUCAUGGGUACAGGUUUCUUUUGGGGGUGAUGAAGUAUUCUGGAACCAGAUGGAGACAGCAGUUGCACAGCCUUGUGAAUGCACUUAAUGCCACUGAAUUGUUCAUUUUGAAUGGUUAAUUUUAUGUGAAGUUUACCUCAAAAAAAUGUGCACGCACAGAAGAUGAAGGCCAGGAAGGUAGGGUGGGGCACUGUGGUGUCCUGGUCCUGGUGGGAAUAGCUGAAGAACUGUCAGGCUGUCCAGCAUGUCACCUGUAUCUUUUCAUGCUAAAAUAAUGUCUCUUUCCUCCUUGGUCUUGAGUUACUUUCAAAAAGCCUUUUUCUGACAUCUCAGCCUUUAGAAGCUCUAGACUCACAAAGGUGGGGAGGGAGGAAGGGUCUUCCAUGCACGACUGGGUGGGGAUUGGGUGUGUGAAGAUGUGGCAGGGGGUGGGGGGGCGGGGGCAGCAGGGCAGGUCCCACAGGAGUGAAAGGGCCUCCAGGGUGGGGCAGAGCCCUGGAAGCGCCCCCCACGAGUUCCUGUCUCUUCCCCUUUCUUUCCACCAAGCUGUGAAGGUUCCGCAUCCCCCAGCUCGAAGGCCAUAUGAGGCUGCCCCCCCGCACCAGCAUGGGCUCAGCUGCCUCAGGCCCCCAGCCGACAUGCCAG